rnacentral:rRNA from 1 species
CGGUAAUUGACCUAGCGGCGGACGGGUGAGUAAUACUUACGAAUCUGCCUAUUAAUGGGGGACAACAUCUCGAAAGGGAUGCUAAUACCGCAUACGCCCUACGGGGGAAAGCAGGGGAUCACUUGUGACCUUGCGUUAAUAGAUGAGCCUAAGUCGGAUUACCUAGUUGGUGGGGUAAAGGCCUACCAAGGCGACGAUCUGUAGCGGGUCUGAGAGGAUGAUCCGCCACACUGGGACUGAGACACGGCCCAGACUCCUACGGGAGGCAGCAGUGGGGAAUAUUGGACAAUGGGGGGAACCCUGAUCCAGCCAUGCCGCGUGUGUGAAGAAAGCCUUAUGGUUGUAAAGCACUUU